UACGUAGGGGGCAAGCGUUGUCCGGAAUCAUUGGGCGUAAAGCGCGUGUAGGCGGCCCGGUAAGUCCGCUGUGAAAGUCGGGGGCUCAACCCUCGAAUGCCGGUGGAUACUGUCGGGCUAGAGUGCGGAAGAGGCGAGUGGAAUUCCUGGUGUAGCGGUGAAAUGCGCAGAUAUCGUAAGGAAGACCAGUGGCGAAGGCGGGUCUCUGGACAGUUCCUGACGCUGAGGCACGAAGGUCAGGGGAGCAAACGGGG
rnacentral:rRNA from 1 species